CAUACGGCACUGAACAUUGGCAUGCCUUUGCUGCGGUUCACACUAUUUACUCUCGUGUGCACACACACACACACACGCCAUCGUUUGCCAGAGUGUAAGCGCGGGAGAAACAAACGCCGCUCGGGAGCAAACGGCCCAAUCGGUCCGAAUUUCGCUCUGCAAACGAACUGGCGCCGCGCCGUACGGCGUGGCACGCGAACCAAACGCGUUUCGGGCGCAUACCGUCUUCAGUUCGAUUUCAGUGACGUUCAGCUGCGGUUCGUCGUCGAGCGGUCGAGCGGACGUGAAAAAGGACGAGAUACUGACAAAAAGAAAAUCUACACACGCACGCACACAUGCAAACACAACACGGUGCAUGCAUAGGUUCAUACAUAACGUCGGCGGACAACUCUCGGACCGCGCGGCCAAGUGAUUGAGGUGUAAACGUUGUAAUUCUGGAAGCCUGUGUUUCGCAAAGCAAAAGAACGCAGUACAAGCGGAGAAAAGGUGUGAAGUGAAUGCGAAUGAAAACAGCCUGCGUGGGUAUGUGAUAAAGUGUUUGUGUGUAAUGUGUGUGUGUGUUUGUGCGGGAGUGAAGUGUGUUGCUACCAGCUGAUACGCUGAUUGCACUGUCACACACAUACGCACAUUGAGAUGAAACGAGGAUCGAUCGCGUUCACGCAAAAAUGGCUGCAUCCUUUAAUUAUGAUAGUAAAGUGAAAUACAGCGGAUAAUCCAAAACAAGUAUCGCGCGCGUGUGUGUGUGUUUGAGUGUAUUACGAAAUAGAAAAUUCCAGUGGAAAGGUCGUUGAGGUGUUUGUGAAACAAUCCAGCGAGAUCAACUGGGCGACGAAACGAUAACAGGGGGUUGAUUGGAUGGUUGGUUUGGAAUUUCCAUUUACGUGCGCACGGUGAAUCGGCAACACUGUGCGACGCCAUGUGAGAGCUUAUGUGAGUUUAGCACAGCAGUGUGUUGUUGCACGGCGUGCAUAAAAAUCGUGUAUCGUGUUCGCUGUUCCGAGUGAAGAUUACUCACUGCUGAUCAACCGUUGAUCUCUGUGCGGUAGAAGAGUUCGGAGAAGAGAAGAAAUUGUUUCAUUUGUGAUGUUUCUCCAGCAGUGUAAUUAGUGUAACGAUCUGGUGCGGUGAAGGUAACUGGAGUGUGUGAACGACCUGCCACACCCUGUUACCCGCUGUAGAGUCCGGGCAGGGGCGCCAUUGUGCGAAGGAUAGUGUGAAGGUGAAUAAAAUAAUCUAAUCAAAUAUUCAACAAUUAUCGACCAAAAAAGGGCCGCCAGACCCGACUCCAAGACAACUGGCGAGUGCGUGUGUUUGAGUGCGUUUGUUUGUGGGUGUGUGUAUCUGUGUGCUUCCGCUGUUUGUUGGCGAUGUGCGUGCGUAAGAGAUGAACGAGCUAAGGUUGUAAAUGUAAAAAAAAGAAACACACAACGUACAAACAGUACACGACUGUGCAGCCGUUUAUUUCUACAACACCGCAACGAAAAGGAUUUUCCUCAACCUUCAAGCAGAGAAAUAAAACAAAACAACAAGGUGAUUUCCUUCGACCUCUUCUAACAAGAAUCAUUGCAAGCUCACCAAAACCACGAUUUGAAAUCCCCCGAAUGGCGCACGAUACGGACCGCCAGCAAGGACGGAACGUUUUCGUGAAAUGACGUUCGUCCUCAAAAUGCCCCCAAGUCCUGGCCGAAGGACCAGUUCAUGGUUCAGAAGUGAAUACCCAACGUAUCAGAGCGGUAAGGGGCCAAGCCGAGGGACAUUCCAGUGGACGGAGGUUAGGUCCUCGAGCCGGAUCCAAUACAAAUCAGCCCUUUUCGUAAUUGACAAAGGAAUACGAGACUACGGCAAGGAUCGCUAAGCGAACCUGGAAUAAAGCCAACAAACAACAAUAACUACAACAACAUUAACAAAAAAAGAAGUCAAACCUUCAGCACGAACCGUUUAACACUACUGUUCUCCAUAAUCAACGAGUGCAGUUUGUCACCAGUACGCCCAUAAUAUGCGACAAAAGCUAUGAAAAUACUAAAAAAUAAAAGAAAUCAUCUUGCACGAUCCUCGACACGACUCGUCCGAUAUUCUGCGAACCAAGGGUUCUGCUUUCGGGUGUGAAAAUAAUUAAAUACCAUCGUGUCGCGACUGUCGUUUAAUUGUCUGCACUUUGGCGAACGAAAAGAAGUGACAUAACACUGGAAAGCGAGCCAAUGAUAAAAAUCUUUACACACGGUUUCACUUGGUACAGAUGCUUUCGUGCUAGUGGCAAACAAAAGAAUAUCACUCCGUCGAGAGCAGCAUUGGCGUGGCAAAGGUGAACUGGGUGGCUAGGUGAACCAUUAACUCUUCGAAAGGCGCGACUACACACCAUCAGAACACACAGCCGUACAGACAGCAACAUAUACGAUCCAAUUUAAAACUACAUAGAAUUCCAACAACAUCACACGGUGGCAGGAACCGGUGAAGUGUAUGAAAGGAAUAUAUCAACACGGCGGAUUGUGAUCCCUUCCCG